GGAUCACAUGAUAGAACGACGCUGGCUAGCGAGCUAACAUGUUAGCGUAUGUUGUUAAAGCCCUUGCCAGGAAUCGCACACGGACGCAGUAGCCCAACUAACAAGCAGCCCCAAAGUCCUUAAGUCCUCGUUCGGUGACCUGACUUAAUUCCCAACACGGCUCCACCAAAGAUUACUCAGAAGAGAAGUAUGGAGGCUAAAGAAGUGAAAACAUCUGGGUGGAUCUGCAAGUGAAUACACUUCUUCUAUUCUCCUUCCACCACAUUGUGUGCGUGUGUUUGUCUGGGAACAUUGAUUGGUUGUGGAAUCUGUGAUCCCUGAAAGCACUGACUCUUUCCUUUCACACCAAGAUGUUGCUGAGUGCAGUAAUCCAUUUCUGCUUCACCGUAGAGAGUUGCAUCCGUUGUUACUCUGAGAAAGCGAUGUUUCCCAGUUGUAGUCAUGCUGUCUUCGGACACUGGAUUCGCACCUUCUCACGCCGUGUUUUCUCACAUUCAGUCUUCCCCGCCACUCUGGCUGCUGACACGCGCAGUAAUUUGAAUCUUUCUCAGCAGCUUUGUUUGCAUAUUACUUACCAGUUCACAAUCACUGAAGACUCAGAAAGCCCAUAAUGAACACGGACAUUUUUAUUAGGGGUUUUAAACUUAAAUAUGACCAAAUGAACAAUUUAUUUUCUAAAUUUCUACUAUUUAGUUAUCUGACUGGCACAUGCAAAAAUACUAGUUGCUAAAUAAUCUCACAAGUUUUUUAUAAAAGCCUAAUUUUGACGCCCAUCGAUUUUAUUUGGCCUCAAAUUGUUUAUUAAAGAGCAGACUGAUGUUUGACUUGCUGGAGUGUAAAUGUAGAACAGGUCCUUUCUCUUUUUUUUUCUCUGUAUUUUAUAAUACUGACUCUAGAUUGAUCAUCAACUAUAAAAGAUUAUGAUGACCAAACCAGGUACAAAUCAUUAUAAGAACUGCAUUUAAGUUAUUAUUGAUGGGCGAUUUUAGAUUUGCAUCAAUUCUUUCUUUCUUUUGUGUUUGUUUGUUGGUGCUCUCAUUUAAUUUCCAACAGUCUGUGAAAACAUGGUCAAAGGUGACUGACUGAUAAGUUGCAGGGGACAUUGGACUUUAUCUGCGAGACGAGAGCAGGGAUGACUUAAGGUCACAUGCAGAUAGGAAUUGUUACAGCAAAAGACUGUUAAUUCAUGCAGGAGACCACGAUGCCCUCGAUCAUCGUACAUUUUAACUAGUAAAUCAACUAAGCUUAGACUUGUAUGACCAGAAUAACACAUCAUAAUCAACAUAUUCUGAAUAUCAUUCGUUUCAAACCUCAAACCCCCAGGUUAGGCUUUUUUGUCCUUAAUGAAAUGAUCCUGAAU
ensembl:lncRNA